CAAGAAAGAAACUCUUCUUUCCCCUCAACUUGCGUGACUCUGGAUAAAGUAACCGGAUGUACUACCCCCUACCGAACAGGACUCGUUGACGAUUGGGAACAAAUAGGGGUGCAAGAAAUUCGUUUUGUAAUCACUGUUAACUCCACACUGACUCAAGAGAUCGUUUUUGACGGAUAUAAUUCGACUAACUUUGACUGGUUCUCCGGAAGUCGGGUCAAGUCGUCCACGUGGUCUGACGUCACAAACACACAGACGUACUUUUAUUUCUGUUUACCAGGUGAUCAAAGAGGUACAAUCACUAGAGUUUGGACCAUUAUAAAGUCAUACCAUGGGUGCGCAGGUGACAUGGGA